CAAGCGGAUUUGGGCCAACAGGCAGUCAGCUGCAAGAUCAAAGGAAAGGAAAAUGAGAUAUAUAGCAGAGCUUGAGAGAAAAGUUCAGACUCUGCAAACGGAAGCAACUACUUUAUCUACUCAGUUGACCCUAUUGCAGAGAGAUACAAACGGCCUGAAUGCUGAAAACAGUGAACUUAAACUGCGUUUACAAACAAUGGAACAACAGGUUCACUUGCAAGAUGCGUUGAAUGAUGCUUUAAAGGAGGAGAUACAGCAUCUGAAAGUGCUAACUGGGCAAGGCAUAGCAAAUGGUGGACCUAUGAUGAACUUCCCAGCAACCUUUGGAGGCAAUCAGCAGUUCUACUCUAACAACCAGGCAAUGCAUACAUUGUUGGCUGCACAACAACUUCAACAGCUCCAGCUACAUUCUCAUAAGCAACAACACCAGUUUCAGCAACAUCAGCUACACCAGUUUCAGCAGCAACAGUUGCAGCACCAACAACAGCAACAGCAACCUCUUAUGCAGCAGCAGCAGCAGCAGGAUCAACUUUCACAAGCCGGAGAUGUGAUGUCAAGAGGUUCUCUGUCAUCUCCUCAAAAUGAAAACGCUUCUGAUGUUAGUUCUGUAGCAAAGGAUUGAACAGCUGAUGGCCAGAGAGACAGGAGAUGGUGUAUGUUUUAAA
rnacentral:misc_RNA from 1 species